GACGCGAGCUUUGUUUAUGAUUCGGUACAAUUCUUAACCUACUGGUGUACUCUCCAGUAAAAAUAUAGAGACAGGGUUAAUAAUAUGAGGGCUAUAAGGAAAAGUUGUAAGUGGUCAUCAACAUCUGUAGUCUUCUCUAAAAAAAAGAUGGUGCAGGAGAGGGCUAAAAUGUUGCUGUUUUGUUGAUAUUUCUUCACUACAAAUGGCAAACAAGUACCCGGCUAAAUUAGUUAGCUAACAGUCACUGAAAUUAAAAUAGAAAAUUCGCAAAACGCCUAUACUGCAUAACGUCUGCUCUGAUUACUUAAUAAAUCGUCUAUUACGAAAAACAGAUCCGUUGAGAUAACACGAUUAUCGAUUCCAUGAGCCUUAAGCCUGACCUGUAGGUACCAGUAUCCUCAGAAUCAACUCGGGUCUACAGCGCGGGGAAAAUCCAUUCGAUUUAAUCAGUGAUCGAAACAGAAAAACACGACUACACUUGUAAAACGCAGUUAUUGCUUUGAUAUAAUAAACGUAAUAUUACAUUUCUCGAAUUAUUAUAGUGUGUAUAGGAAAAGAAACCGUUUUUAUGCCAUAAUUGUUUUGAAGGAUUUUUAUUACGUUUCGUUUUUCCUUAGUUCAUUGAAGUUUUGCUAUAAAUAACUGCCGAUAUGAUAAGCCCCUCAAAAAUCUUUUCAGACCGCCUGUUUAAAACAUAAGGGAAACAUAGGAAGCUCACGCUUUGCUGCCCAGUAAACCUAUAAAUAGUUAGUACGCUUAGAUAACUUAUCAGGUUAAAUUUUGAUCUAAAAAAAUUACCGUAUUGGUAAUUUAUUUUUUGUCUGCGCUUUUUAUUUGACUGUGCCAUAAUCGUUCCAGUCAGUUGCUAGGGGUAGAGUUCUACGCAAUCAUAGAUGGGGCUAUAAUGCAGACCGCCUCUUCGUGAUUAGCAGCGGCUAAACAAAUAUAUGUGCUCGAUAUAUGUAUAGAGUACAUAUAUAGAACGUCCUCCAGUAUUGUUAUGCGAUCAUUGCUAAAAACCUUGUUUAUCUGAGAUAAAGGUGUGCGUGAAAGUAGCCCUGGUAGUUCAACAUUUUCCUACUUCCACACGCUCUUCGUUUACUUUGGUGAAAGCGUAUCUUACUAACUUUUCCCCUGUUUGAACUUCUGGGUAAAACCUACACAAGCUGUUAAUACAGUUCGCCCAUUUAUUCAUGUUUAGGAAAAAGCUAAUGCCGGCGCGUUCAAUGAGUGGACAGAUUACCGAUCCUAUGAAUAAACAGAAACAUAACAUUAAAAUAUUUAAGAUUUUUUACCUAUAUUUAUCAGGAGGUUCUCACUAGCCGUACGCAAAAGCGAAAUUUAAAGGCCUCUUCCUUGAAUGCAAGAAUAACGAAUAAGCUCGAUCAGUUUUUUUUUUGUUAAACCUUCAUUUAGUAAGAAGAAGAUUUCGAAUGAUUUUUAUCACCAACAGCUGUUAAAGGCGGGACUAAGAGUUAUAUUGAGUUAGGUUUUCGCUCUCACUCACUUUUGAUAUCGCAUAUAUCAAAAGCUAUGCUGAUACCUAGUACCAUCAAAUUAAGCGGCAGUCAAGAGAAUGUUCCAAGUUGUACUCAUAUUACUUACUAUUAGUAACCACUGUACUUGUCGUGACCUCGAUUGCACCAAGUACCGUUCAUAAAUUUGAUUUCUUUGCUGGUCGUUAUUAUGUUCGGGUCUAUUUUGAUUCCUAAGAAAGGACUUUUCCGUAUCGAGGCUCCUUGUCCAUAUAGAUCCAUCGCAAGAUAUUAGCAGGGUUAUGUAAUCCUUUUCAUGUCUGUUUAUAGUAGAAGCUAGUGCGGGCAACAGUAGCAAAUGUCGGUUGUAAAACACUUAAUCGAUCGAGAUUAGGUGACGCGGAUGGCGCCGACCAGAAACGCUUUUUGAUCCGCCCUGCCUCCCUAACAUUAAAGUGCGCCUAAUGUUCGUCUAGAGGGCGCUGAUAGACAUGUGUAUAUGUAUAUAUAUAUCUCUAAUAACUGUGGGAACGUUAACACGAUACGAUGAUAGCGAUUAUCAAGGUGCUAUUGCUACUCAUUCAAACUGAACUUCCUACAAAGUCGUGUAAAUCGGUGCCUAUAUGUUCAAGCCUAAGUCCACUUCUUGUCAGGGCAAUAUUGAUAAUAUGAGAAUCUUCGUAGAAUCGUAAAUUUGGUCAUGAAGAUGUCACCGUACAAAAUGUUUAAUGUGUAAGCGUAUUCGUAAGCUGGAAGCAGCCGUUCAUCUCUGAGGACAAAAACAAUCUAACAACAAACAUCUAGCAACAAUUAAAACUGCGUUAAUCCUACGCGACUUUACUACUAAUGGAAAAUCACGAGAGGAUUGCAUAAGCGAAAAAAGUGCUGCUAGCAGAGCAGGAUGAUCUAUAAUAAUUUAAAGUGGGAAUUGUUAUACUGGAAGCAUCUCUGAAUAUUACUUUCCCAAAGAUCGACUGUAUGAAUUUUUAUUUUCCUUUUUUCUAGGUCCAUUUACAUGUUACGUCAGUUACGCUUGUGGAGCGCUACAAUUUCCAGGGUUAUCCUAUACCUGAUUUCACUUCAGACAAACAAACAUGUAGUUAAGGAAACAGUCUGUUCUAUUUGACGCUUUCUCGGACGAAGCGAUUUUCAUUAUUCAUACAAGUUAUGUAGUUAAGCAGUAUGCUAUUUCGGAUAACUAGAUAAUUUUUUCUCACACGGAAACAAAGUGGUCAAGCCGACAUCGCGUAACUAACAAAAGCGUUUCUCACAGCGGAUAUCCACUUCCGACGCUUGUUACUGCUUAUGUACGCUGCCAUACGGUUAUGAUAGUCGUGUGUAACAUCCCAGUCGAAAACAACUUUUGCAUAAAACGAAGAUACCGACCGAUUGCGAGACUCAAUCCCAACGUGUCAUUUGUGGGUAUCUGAGCUUAGCUGCUGAACGAGAGAGCCAAUAGAUUAAAAACGAAAUAAAUCAAAUACUACAUGACAUAUGUGUCAACCCCGUUGGAUACUGAUGUGGUAGUUUGAUUGAUCUUCUCCUGGUCAGCGUUCAUUAUCAACUAUAAGCUUACAGUCAUUUCUCAUAAACGGAACUUUGAUACUUCCUUGCCGAUAGCCGUGAAUAAAAUACGGUGGCAAUAGUGUGAACUACUGCAAACCCGUAUCAAGAGUUAGCGUGAUGGGGAUUGCUGCAGUGUCCUCGUAGCGGAACAUUUAAUUCCAUUUUAUUGCAUUAUUAUUAAAUCAAAUACGAAACAUAGGCAGCAUAAUUUUAAAUUUGAUAGUGCACAGCACUGAUCUUCUGUAGCUAACACUGAAUCAAACCAGACGAUAGGACUGAUGUGCAUCUUGGAACUAGUAUGGCUUUUGAUAUCUUCUUCACAAAAUCCCACUUCACAAGUAUAUGUCAUGCCUUACAAAAUCUACUUCACUCGAACUACUGACAAAACGUUUCUUUUUUUUUUUUUGUUUUUAUAUAGAUAGUUUGAUGAAUUCGACAGCGCAAGUGUGUUUUAAAAAGACUGCAUUUGAUUUCUUGCGUAAGACAGCAUUAAGUUUCGAUGUUUUCUUCGUAUAUUUUAGACCCGUUUCUACUAAAAAAAACGACUCUAAUGUAAACGUUUUCGAGUUGCUGUGUGAAAGGCAUAAAAAUGCCCAGAUUUCGAUGGCCUAGACGAAAAAAUGUCCCUUUGUCCGUAGCUUGUUGACUGGACUCUGACGGUAGUGAGUGCGCAAAUUCGGAUCAUCUCUGAGAUAACUGUGUCUGGAAACACGAUCAAUUCAGUUUAAGGGGACAGACACAAAAGGAAGCUUACAUCUGACGAGGCAAAAGAACAAUAGAGAAUGAGUAAAAGUCAGUCUAAUAUAAAUAAAAAAAAUCCGAUACUACUCGUAGGCGAGCUUAUAAAUGAAGGUGCAAAUCUAUCUGUGACGCAUAAGGUAAAUAUAAAGAUUUACACGCCUAUAAUAUUAGACAAAACGGUACCUUACAAGACCACAGCCCUGAGUAGGAAAUGCAGAUCGAUGCAAACUGAGAGAUGAAUAGCUGCGUGAACUUAUGACGAUCUGGAGCAAUAUAAAGCGAUGGAUUCAACAGGUUGGUAUGCUGUCGGAAGUCUUGAAUGAAAUAUAAAAGUUGAAGUUGAAACGGCGUAUCAUUGAUUCAAUUCAUUCAAAAUAAUAUACAGCCAAUACUACACCAUGGCAAAAGCAGCUGCCAUUUAACAGGUAGUUCUACGCUUUCGAAAAGGUUUAUGCAUUAUAUUUUUUUUUCGUUUUACUGUCACGUCGCUCCAAGUAGUGAACCAUCAUUUUACUCUUGAUAUACGAUGCUUAUGUUAGGUCAAUAGAGCUGCUUGCACGGAUCUAUGUAACUGCCAUAAUAAUCAAGUUAAUUAAUCGUGCUGGCAGUAUCCAUAAAAUAGAAGCCAUAUUGAGGAAGGACGGCCGGUUUAAACGGACUGAAUUUUGCGUAUAAACGUCAGACGCAGUAGUUAAUGACAAACCCGUACUUUGUUAGAUUUUCUCUCGUUUGUUGUGCUGGAUACGACAAAAGUCGAUAGUCAUAGCUACGAUUAGAUGGAUGAGCUAUAUGGUUACCCGCGUAGACGUUAUUCACGGUAACCGGAAAAGUUUCAUCUUCAGCUGGAAGUUGUUUAAGAUCGCCUUGAUUCCGCAUCAUCUAUCGCCAUGAUGCAUAGAUAUAUAAAAAUUGGCGGGCCAAUUUUGCUUAGUUGAUGCCUUUUCGUCAAAAAAGCUCCACACUGUAUUAGUUAAAAGAAUGAGGUAUAAUAUAUAUGGUUGAUAAUGUGGUAAUAACACGGCGAGCGUAUUUGCUACCAAUGUAUUUUUAAGAUUGGUUUAAUUACGAAUUGAGUGCAUAUGCAAGAAAAUUAACUUUUUUUCAUUCACACAAAUUGUGUAAUAAUUGUGUGGGUGUAAAUGCUUACGUGGCUUUUUAUAUGACAUGUAUUUUUAUGAGAAGUGUUCGGUCCGUUUGCCAAGCCAAGUAAGUACAACUUAAUUAAUUAUUGGCGGACAACUGGACUAUAUUUACCGUAGCAUAUGCGUGUGUCCUGAAACGAACGAAAGCCUAUGUUACCUGUACAACGAAAUGCACAGUGCAUAGAUGUUUGAAACAUGGCUCGACCAUGUUGUCGUAUAGAGAAUUCGGCCUUUGGUAAUUUUGACUAAGAUACCUUUCCUGAUCAUGUGGAGUGUCGACUGAUCAUUUGUCAUUAGUCACAGCAUUAUAUUAUUAUUGCUAUUGUAUUUCUUAGGUGACCAGAUCUGAUCAUGCCAUGUGUGUAGUUCUAGUGGAGCCGCUAGUACCAUGUAAAAAAACGAUGGUUGUAAAAUUUAUUUAGACAUUUUGCAAGCUUAUUUUUAGACAACCUUGACAAACGAGGACAGGCGAAGACUAUUUGAUAACUACGCUCAGUGACAAGCAACACUGCUUUGAGCGUAAGCGCCUAUUUUCCGAAAGAAAGCGAAAUGCGUUUCUGACGCCGCGUAGAUAUUCCUCCCGAUCGACAUGUGUGACACAGAAUAUAAUAAAACGGUCCAUAGCGUUAUACCUCGAAUAUGGUCGUCUACAGCGUGCGGCUAUCUGUGUACAGAUUGCAUCCGAGAGCCCAAUAAGCCUGAGAACAGGUAUCACGAGGCCUGUUUUUGCCAGUUGCAAAAAAAUAUUUCAGGAUGUUCUAUGGCAGCGCACAUGUAAAUCGUAGAAAAUGUCUUCAUGCGAUUAUUAUUAGAUGAUAAUAGAAAUCAUGGAAGUUAUUUGCAUAUAGGUAUCUGCGCAAUAGGAUCGGAUAAACUUAGUGGGACGGUCACCUGUUCGUCAAUGUAGUGUAUAAUGAGACGUUCUUAAUAUCGAAAGGGGUACUACGGUUCACAGUGAAGCAAUACAAAUACACGGUUCUCAUGUCCGUCAUUAUCAGCGUUAUUGUGGCAAGCAAGAAUGCUUUAGUUUUCUUUAUCAACAAAUAAUGUAGCCUGUCGAAAUCAGGCUGCCUGUGCCCACAGUGAGCGGAUCCUUUGUAUCACUCGACAGUACGCUCAGCGUAUUGCGAUUCGUUUCUACGUAUAUGUGCGUAAACGUUUGUGGCUAUUUGUUACCCAACCCGCAUCCUGAUACGAUGCCGUAACGACGUUAUGCAGAGGCGAUGAUUAAAACAGGAUAAAUGAAAGGAACAAAUCGGUUUACUCGAUGAUCACUAUGCCAUGUGAGAGGCCCCGUCGAUGUGGCUUAGGUCCUUCUACCGUGGGAUAGUUUCUGUGGUGGCCCCAUAUUACUAUAUAAUCAUCCUGAGCAGUAGUAGCAACAGUAAAAGUUGCUGCAGCUGGGUUAGCAACGAGAUGGUAAAUAUGGACUCAAAUCUUUAUACAAUUUCCCUUUACUUACCUCAGUUUAUGUACAGUGAUUUGCAGAGGCAAUUCCAACACUCGAUUAUAACGAUCGAUAACGACCACCACUUAGGCACGUCACUUUCUUAACACAAUGUGAAGGCAUAGCGACUCGACCAGUACGUGCUAGCAAUCCGUCUUGCGGGAUUAUGCCGGAUGUACGACAUGCCUCUCUUCUUCAAUUGAUGUGACACAGGGAAGAGAAUCGAAACUUUUUGUGGAGACGUUCCAUAGAGAUUCGCAUUGUAUGACCCCUCUAUUUGUGUGCCUAUCCUCCCAAACUACUUCACUACGACUGGUAAUCUAUGCUGUGCGUCUUACUCUAUCCUACUUAUAAACCUACGACCCGAAUUGUCUAUACAUAGACAUCAGGAACGACUAGAGUCCAGACAGCUUAGACAUGUUUAACCCGGCGAUGGUUGUUCAUGCACAAGAGGGUAACAUUUACUUGCGGUGUGUGCCUGCAACGGAAACAGAGUCUAGUUUGCUGACUGCAAGUUGUAGUAUGAUAGAUAUCCAUGUUCGAAGAACGACCCAGUAUGUCGUUACAAAGCGACGAAAAACGAAUUUUUAGAGACAGGUGCGACAGACCUAUCCUAAAAAUUAAGAUACUGAAGGUACUCACCAAGAGAGUCACCGGGUGAAUGUCGAGAAGCCAUUAUUGUAGGAACGUUUUAUUCGUAUCCUGCCGCCUAAAUAUUGCAUGGACAUUGGACUGCACUCUUUCGUAUUUAUUUACGAGUUGUCACGGAACAUUUCAACCGAUACACGCCGACGCAGACGAAUUUGACCGAUUAGAGCGAAUCGGAUAUGCUGACCUAUCUUGAAGCUGUUAGCGCUUGUUCCUAUUGCUCUAUUAUCUACGAUCAGGUAAGAUUUCGAACGUUCGGUCUGCAUGAUAAUGAUAGUGAGUUGGGGGUGGCAACUGGCGAUAACUAAUAGAUUCUAUUGGCCCUAGAGACUGUUUUAGACAGCUAUGUCCCGCCUAUUACAUUCAUCCGAUUGUACUGAUACCACUGUUGGCCUUCCAUCCGCGCUUCUCGCAUUUAGUGCUCGGCAUCACGUGACCUCGGCUGAGUGCAACCAAAGGUUUUUAAAUGCUUUUCGCCAGAUACCGUGACUCGGCGUAUGACACCUAUCACAAAUCCGGUACCCAGCACCGCCGCAAUAGAGGGCAAAAUGGACCUAUUUUCUUGCGGGCUUAAGGGAGCUCGAUUAAAGGUUCGCUGAGGAGAGCUUGUUCCCUUUAUCCUGGUGCUAUCUAAAAUCAGGUAGGCUUAAAGGCAGAUGACUGCAGACUUGCAUAGAGUUCAGGCUCAAGAGUAAACAAGUCUAUCAGAACACCCGUCUAUGCUACCUGAACGUUCCUGUCAUGUUUAUUUCCAUGCAUCGUCGUGCCUUCGUAUAUACAGUGGUGGGGUGAGAAGCUAUCGAGUAUCUCGGCAAGCUGUUGCCAUACGCAACAAAUUUGAUUAACAUGGAACUGAAAAAAACGAGGCAAGGUUUCCGCCAAUUCCAACACCAGCGUACUAGGGCGUGCUGUUUAAGGACCUAUUUGAUUUGAUAUUGAGUUCUAUCUCAGAGCUGGAGUACAGCCAAUAUGAUGGAAGUUGCUUGUGCUGUUGUUACCGCAGUUGCCGAUGCGUCGUCUGCUUUUUGUCCAGUUUUGUUUGUGUAGUUUGAAUGACCGCACAAAUGUUGAUGUUACUUUCGCUUCUCACUGACCACUGUUGUGCGCGUCAAGCUAGGGGUAUUAAUAUUAAAUGCAAAAUUAAACUGGAUUUUCCACGCGUGGGGUUUAGCUAUCGGUAAAACCAUAAGUGAUUAGCCAAGAAACAAUGGAUUAUUUAGUGACACUGAUUAACAUCCUAUAUCGGUUGAUAUUUUAAAACUUUUUAAGGUGCAUUUACGUCUUAAUAGGCGUAUUCAAAAUCGCCCGCUUAUAACUAAGUGCACCCUGGUUUGCUAACUGUGAAGCAUUCGUGAAUUUUGCAUGCGUUUCUAGAUACAUAUUUGCUUCACAACGAUUUCGACAUCUGGUUUUGUAUAAAUGAUGAAUAUUCGUCUCUGCGAAUUAAUCGGAAGCCACCCUGCUACUUGUCAUUAAACUCAUAACUCUUCACUCGAUUCAUGUAUAUGGCACAGGGCAGAAGUCUCUUUGCAGUUUAAAGUCUUCAUUUGCUAUAUAUAGGUGUGUAUUUUUAUCGAGUUCGCAGACUGCCAAGAGACUUUUGCCAACCCAUUCUGUGUAUACAAAGUAGGUGCAGGGGCAGACGCUUACCUUCUACUCUUGUUCUCCCGCUCUCCUAAAGCUGACUUUUAUUUAUUUCCCCUUUAUACAUGCAGCUAUCAACAUAGUUUACUUCCGCCUACUUACAUAGCGCUCUAACCUCACCAAUUUCUGCCAUUCAGCCCGCCUUCGAUCUGUAUUCACCUUUUCCUGUUGUUGCUGCUGUUUGACUUGUUAUCGUUGCCGAUAUCAUUGUUACUGUUACCGUCAUUACUGCUAUCGCCAGUUUUUUUUGUCAUCAACAAUGUCUUGUUUUGUCUCUUUCUCUCUGUCUUUCUGCUUGUCGACCGAUAUCUUCAUUCGGUGGCUGGAAUACGAACUGCUUUCGUCGUUCGGUGGCUCGCUGUACGACGCGAUCGUCACUGCUGCUCACCACUCUGCUUUUGCAUCUUUACUAUUAUGGCACUCGCGGCGCUUCAUCUUUUUACGCCUAUCCGUGCGGAUGCGAUCCGAAUCCUAUGGUGCGGUUAUAAUCUGUACGCGGUUCCGCAUAAAGUUCCACGCAGUGGUUCCAGUUGGAAAUUGUGCGCCAUGUUGUGAUGGUACUGCUGCACGGUUCGUCUGAAUGGACGAAGUCGAAGCACCGGCAGUAAGCGCAGGAGGUGACGAAGUCACUGCCGCCAUCACAACUUGCUGUGUAGACCUUUUGUCCGGCAACGGUCAUAAGAACUACUGUAACAGCAGAACCCGCAACGAUAAUACGACCAUCUAUAACGGGUGCAACAGUACCAUUCACUGCAGCUGUGAUAGAAACCGGGAUCGCAUUGGCCGCAGCGGUAACAGCAGCGACAGCAAUCACCUUAUUGUUAUUUUGGGUGGCUAUUUAGCAUUGCCUCCUCAAAGAGCGCCACAUAAAAUCUGCCAGAUGGGUUUGUUAGGUUGGCUCGACAAUAAUAUAAUUAUUAACUGGACACCCGCAGAUAACCAGGUAAAACGGGUCUCUUCGGUAACCCACGUCGACUCGACGUCGACCGUCGUUACGAAAAUGGAUCCAGCGCAGGAUCCGCCACUUCUACUAGGCGAACAGCGAUCCUGGAAACGGGAAUGGGCCGCAUUGAAUAUCCUUUUCUUCGUCAACCUUAUUAACUAUAUGGACCGAGUCACCAUUGCGGCCGUCUUAUCGAAGGUAAAAAACCAGUAUGGUCUCGAUGACAAGAAAAGUGGAUUCUUGCAAACAGCUUUCGUCAUAUCAUACAUGAUCUUUGCCCCAGUAUUUGGUUAUUUGGGAGAUCGAUACUCGAGGAAAGUUUUGAUGGCAGGAGGCGUUAUCUUCUGGAGUAUAACUACACUUCUAGGCUCAUUGCCUCCGGAGAACUUUUUCUUGUUUCUUGCGUUGCGCGGUUUGGUUGGCAUCGGCGAGGCCUCGUACUCAACUAUUGCUCCAACAAUUAUUGGCGAUAUGUUCCCCGAAGAUAAGCGAACUAUUGCCUUGGGGAUUUUCUAUUACGCUAUUCCAAUCGGGUCCGGUCUGGGUUACAUGGUAGGCUCGUAUAUCGCGAUAUGGUCGGGUAAAUGGUACUGGGCUUUAAGGAUAACGCCGAUUCUCGGAACAACAGCGACGCUGCUGAUCUUAUUCGUUCUACGCGAGCCGCCUCGAGGUGAAGCUGAUGGGGGAGUGCACAUUUCGACCACAUCUAUUAUCGAAGACGUUAAAGACUUGGCCGGCAACAUGUCUUAUAUCUGGUCAACACUGGGCUUUACUGCUGCCACAUUUGCUCUUGGUGCAAUGUCUUGGUGGGCUCCGGACUUCAUAGAGCGGGCAGAGAGAAUCCGAACGGACGACGUCGAUCUUGGAAGAAUUAGUUUUAUUUUCGGAACGAUCACGUGCGUCGGUGGAGCUACCGGAAUUACGUUGGCAGUCUAUUUAUCGAAGGCGCUUCGUGAACGUUUUAAUCGCAUCGACCCGGUCAUCUGUGCCGCUGGCCUAAUAUGUGGGGUGCCGUUAAUUAUGAGCGCUGUAUUGUUAGAGAAUACGGCACCUCUGGCUACGUGGUUUCUCUUCUUUAUUGGCCUAACGUUAUUAUCGCUGAAUUGGUCCGUUGUGCCUGACAUGCUUCUAUACACAGUGUUGCCAACUCGGAGAGGUACCGCGUCAGCAAUACAGAUCCUCAUCUCACAUAUGUUCGGAGACGCAGCUAGUCCAUAUAUCGUCGGAGCGAUAUCAGACGCAAGGAGUACAGAUAUGACGAAUCAUGAGGAAUACUUUAUCGCUUUACGAAACGCCAUGCUGCUACCUUGUGUGAUCCUCGCCGUUGGUGGCUGCGUGUUCAUUUUCAACAUCUUUACGAUUCUCCGCGAUAAAAAACGCUGUCAGAGGCAGUUGCAAGCGCCACGUGACAACAAUAAUGCUCGUGAUCUACGCGUAGAGUAUGACGCAAACGUAGAGUUUGAAGCUUCUCCUCCUAACUACUGCGAAUCGACAGAAGCAGAAUUUAAAGAAGGUGCCGUGCGCGUGAUAUCUUAUUCAGCUUUAGAAAAAAAGAACGCCUUGGACCACAUCUUAACUAAUGAAGUCGAUAUUCCACCAUCGAAAUCACCAGUUUCUGUAGCAAGAUUAUAAAAUGAUAAUAUUGAUGUUGUUAAUAGUCGACGACAAAGCUAAUCUUCACUGAAGCGGCUAAUCAAUGGACAUGAAGGCAGCUAUAUCGCAUUAGUCAAAAAAAAGUAUAAAUGUACGUUGAACUGUGGGCAAGUGAUUUACCACUGUAAGAUCGCAUAGACGCAUGGCAAAUGUUGCAAAACCAAUUAUCACACCACAAGCCAUGGAGAGCUGGUUCACCCGAGAAUUUUGGUGGAGCUCUUUUAUUUUUCUUCUAUUCUAACCUGACAUGAUUUACGCCUCUAUGAAAUCAUCCAGAUAUCGCUGGUCUAUAACUGAUACCGAGUGAUUCCACAUGGGUCUCGUUCCGUGUGCGGAACAGCCAAGAGGAAAGCUUCAGCGCUAUCUGUGCUCACCUCAUGAGAACAAAGAUAGCGCAAUAGAAGGUUGAUUGUGGCCAAAUGUGUACGCCGAAAGCAACCCCACUUGUUGCAGUGACGGGCGUGGAUGUGCGUGCGUGCGUGCGUGCCUGUAUGUACAUUAAUUAAAUUAAUGUUAUUAAUGUCAUUAUAAUACUUGGUUUUUAUUGCUGUAUUAGUAAUUAACAAUGUAUUAAUAAUGAUGAAGAUAAUGAAGUGGCAGCAAGAACGAACUUAAACUAACAGGUGAUUUAACUUAAGGGUCAGCCAUGCUGGUGGUCGGAUGAUUAUAAAAAAUUGAUUAAAAGAAGAGAGCGAACCGAAGACAUGUUUUAACAUGCAUAGAUGUCGAAUAUGGUUUCGAUGACGGAUUUUAAUAAAUACAUGAAGAGAUGAAUUGCUAUAAGUUUUUUUUUA